rnacentral:snoRNA from 1 species
AAGACUAUACUUUCAGAGAUCAUUUCUAUAGUUUCUGACUUGAGAAAUGUGUUUCUAGAGUGUAUGGUCUCGCCAACCACGAUGAUGAGUUGUGAUAUUCUCUUGUGAACAUGAAUCUGAUGGAGAACCUUGUUUAUUAUAUAUGUUCUCUGUCAUUGAUGAUUGUUCUUUGCUUUUUUUGGGGAGCAAUGAAGAAGGGAAUAUUUUCAGAGUGGU